AUGAACGCUGGCGGCGUGCUUAACACAUGCAAGUCGAACGAAGCAUUUGCGACAGAUUUUUUCGGAAUGAAGUUGCUUAUGACUGAGUGGCGGACGGGUGAGUAACGCGUGGGUAACCUGCCUUGUACUGGGGGAUAGCAGCUGGAAACGGCUGGUAAUACCGCAUAAGCGCACAAUGUUGCAUGACAUGGUGUGAAAAACUCCGGUGGUAUAAGAUGGACCCGCGUCUGAUUAGCUAGUUGGUGAGAUAACAGCCCACCAAGGCGACGAUCAGUAGCCGACCUGAGAGGGUGACCGGCCACAGUGGGACUGAGACACGGCCCAGACUCCUACGGGAAGCAGCAGUGGGGAAUAUUGCACAAUGGAGGAAACUCUGAUGCAGCGACGCCGCGUGAGUGAAGAAGUAAUUCGUUAUGUAAAGCUCUAUCAGCAGGGAAGAUAGUGACGGUACCUGACUAAGAAGCUCCGGCUAAAUACGUG
rnacentral:rRNA from 1 species